rnacentral:misc_RNA from 1 species
AAAAAAAAAAAAAGAAAGAAAGAAUUUUUGUACAUUUCAAUAAAUCAAUCUCCGAAUUCAGAAACUUGUAGUUGAAAGAUUAUAAAUUGGUUCUUUAAAUUGUAAUUUGUCAAAAUUUAUAAAAUUUUGUAUCCAAACCAUUUACCAUUUUCCUGCUUUUCAUUGAAGUUCUUGAGGAUUUUCAAUUGGGAGGUGGGAGAAAUAGCAUCUGAACCUUAAAUUUUAUACAAUAUGACGGCUUAACUGUGAUUUAUGAUAUUGAAAUUAGAAAUUAGUAGAAAGGAAACCUGUUUAUAUGUAUUAAAUUUGAAUCCCUUUGAGCUUGUAUGAGAGUUUUUACAGCCAUUGAAUAAGCAUCAUAUCUGUCCGUGGUCGACUAGUUUACCUCGUCAUGUUCCUGCUGUUAUUCCUUCCUGUUGAAGAGCAUCAUCCCUUGCUUUUUGUUCCCGAGUAUACAUGUGGAUUCAUGGAGUUGUCCACUAAGAGCUCAUGAUUCUUGAAUCGGGAUGGACUCUUUCCCCUUUUGCUAACUUUGCAUAAUGGCCCCGGAGAAGGCUUGCUUUGGAAUGGUCAGAAUUUCCUUAAUACUAUAGAUUCUGAGUGACUUUAUUUAAUCUCCAUUAUAGAUAUGUAUCUAUACAUAGAGCUGAAUAAGUUGUGUUAAGAGUUCUCAACAUGAUCUCUUGAGAUGAGUUGAUUCCACUAAUGAGAACUAGGAAUUGCAUUUUAAAGCAUGUAAAGGAUACUCUGCUUCAGUUUAAAAUAUAUGCUGAAUGUUAAAGUUUUG